UCAUGACAGUGCCAGGUACAGAGAGAAGCUGUCUAACCAUAGCUCUGCCCUUGGACUUUGCACUCUGGAUUGCCGGGUCCCACCUCUCCUCGAGAAUGGACGUUACCUCUUCUGAUUGAUAGUCUAUUCAGUCUAUCCUCCUUUUUCCAUGAUAAAAAGGUUUAGCCCAGUCCAUAGGCUAUCAGACAAAAACUACAUUUCCCAGUCUCCCUUGUUGUCAAGUGGCCACGUGACUAAGGCCCUCCCAGAAGGUUGUAAACAGAAGUGCUGUUUGCUACUUGCCUGUCUUCUGUUUAAAAACAUUGGCCCGCGCUUCCCAAUACAGUUCCCGCUUCCCCAGAAGUGGAGGCGAGGAUGAAGAAGACCGGCCCCAGACCACCGCUCUAGUCCCCUCUCUGUCUUCUGUUACAGAGGCAGUAAGCUAUUGGCAGU
rnacentral:lncRNA from 1 species